rnacentral:rRNA from 1 species
CUACGGGGGGUGCGAGCGUUAUUCGGAAUUACUGGGCGUAAAGAGCGCGUAGGCGGUCUUUUAAGUCAGGUGUGAAAGCCCGGGGCUCAACCCCGGAAGUGCACUUGGAACUAAGAGACUUGAGUAUGGGAGAGGGAAGUGGAAUUCCUGGUGUAGCGGUGAAAUGCGUAGAUAUCAGGAGGAACAUCAGUGGCGAAGGCGACUUCCUGGACCAAUACUGACGCUGAGGCGCGAAGGCGUGGGGAGCAAACAGGAUUAGAAACCCCUGUAGUCC